GUGUGUGUGUGUGUGUGUAUUUAGCAGUCUGUGUGUGUAUUCAGCAGUCUGUUUGUGUAUUCAGCAGUCUGCUAAAUACAGACAGACUGCUAAAUACAGACAGACUG